rnacentral:rRNA from 1 species
UAAUACAGAGGUCUCAAGCGUUGUUCGGAUUCAUUGGGCGUAAAGGGUGCGUAGGCGGCGAUCUAAGUCUGGUGUGAAAGCUCGGGGCUCAACCCCGAAAUUGCACUGGAUACUGGGUUGCUAGAGGGCUGUAGAGGAGAUUGGAAUUCACGGUGUAGCAGUGAAAUGCGUAGAUAUCGUGAGGAAGACCAGUGGCGAAGGCGAAUCUCUGGGCAGUUCCUGACGCUGAGGCACGAAGGCUAGGGGAGCAAACGGG